UAGUGGCAGACGGGUGAGUAAUGUAUAGGAAUCUACCUAGUAGUACGGAAUAAUUGUUGGAAACGGCAACUAAUACCGUAUACGCCCUAGGGGGGAAAAAUUUAUUGCUAUUAGAUGAGCCUAUAUUAGAUUAGCUAGUUGGUGGAGUAAUAGCCUACCAAGGCAAUGAUCUAUAGCUGAUCUGAGAGGAUGAUCAGCCACACUGGAACUGAGAUACGGUCCAGACUCCUACGGGAGGCAGCAGUGGGGAAUAUUGGACAAUGGGCGAAAGCCUGAUCCAGCCAUGCCGCAUGAGUGAAGAAGGCCUUUGGGUUGUAAAGCUCUUUUAGUGAGGAAGAUAAUGACGGUACUCACAGAAGAAGUCCUGGCUAACUCCGUGCCAGCAGCCGCGGUAAUACGGAGAGGGCUAGCGUUAUUCGGAAUUAUUGGGCGUAAAGGGCGCGUAGGCUGGUUAAUAAGUUAAAAGUGAAAUCCCGAGGCUUAACCUUGGAAUUGCUUUUAAAACUAUUAAUCUAGAGAUUGAAAGAGGAUAGAGGAAUUCCUGAUGUAGAGGUAAAAUUCGUAAAUAUUAGGAGGAACACCAGUGGCGAAGGCGUCUAUCUGGUUCAAAUCUGACGCUGAAGCGCGAAGGCGUGGGGAGCAAACAGGAUUAGAUACCCUGGUAGUCCACGCUGUAAACGAUGAAUGUUAAAUAUGGGAAGCUUACUUUCUGUAUUACAGCUAACGCGUUAAACAUUCCGCCUGGGGACUACGGUCGCAAGAUUAAAACUCAAAGGAAUUGACGGGGACCCGCACAAGCGGUGGAGCAUGUGGUUUAAUUCGAUGCAACGCGAAGAACCUUACCACUCCUUG
rnacentral:rRNA from 1 species